GCGUGAGUGAUGAAGGUUUUCGGAUCGUAAAGCUCUGUUGUUAGGGAAGAACAAGUGCAAGAGUAACUGCUUGCACCUUGACGGUACCUAACCAGAAAGCCACGGCUAACUACGUGCCAGCAGCCGCGGUAAUACGUAGGUGGCAAGCGUUGUCCGGAAUUAUUGGGCGUAAAGGGCUCGCAGGCGGUUUCUUAAGUCUGAUGUGAAAGCCCCCGGCUCAACCGGGGAGGGUCAUUGGAAACUGGGAAACUUGAGUGCAGAAGAGGAGAGUGGAAUUCCACGUGUAGCGGUGAAAUGCGUAGAGAUGUGGAGGAACACCAGUGGCGAAGGCGACUCUCUGGUCUGUAACUGACGCUGAGGAGCGAAAGCGUGGGGAGCGAACAGGAUUAGAUACCCUGGUAGUCCACGCCGUAAACGAUGAGUGCUAAGUGUUAGGGGGUUUCCGCCCCUUAGUGCUGCAGCUAACGCAUUAAGCACUCCGCCUGGGGAGUACGGUCGCAAGACUGAAACUCAAAGGAAUUGACGGGGGCCCGCACAAGCGGUGGAGCAUGUGGUUUAAUUCGAAGCAACGCGAAGAACCUUACCAGGUCUUGACAUCCUCUGACAACCCUAGAGAUAGGGCUUUCCCUUCGGGGACAGAGUGACAGGUGGUGCAUGGUUGUCGUCAGCUCGUGUCGUGAGAUGUUGGGUUAAGUCCCGCAACGAGCGCAACCCUUGAUCUUAGUUGCCAGCAUUCAGUUGGGCACUCUAAGGUGACUGCCGGUGACAAACCGGAGGAAGGUGGGGAUGACGUCAAAUCAUCAUGCCCCUUAUGACCUGGGCUACACACGUGCUACAAUG
rnacentral:rRNA from 1 species